rnacentral:misc_RNA from 1 species
AAGUCGUAACAAGGUUUCCGUAGGUGAACCUGCGGAAGGAUCAUUAUCGAGUUUUGAAAAGGGUUGUAGCUGGCCUUCGGCAACAAGUCGGAGGCAUGUGCACGCCUGGCUCAUCCACUCUCAAACCCCUGUGCACCUUUUGUAGGCUUCGGCAGAGAGGACUGACUUCGGUCGGUUCAGGAAGCCUUGUGCCUAUGUCACGCAUACAAACGCUUCAGUUUAGAAUGUAACGAAUCGUGCGCCUCGGUGCAACGAAGUAAAUACAACUUUCAGCAACGGAUCUCUUGGCUCUC